rnacentral:rRNA from 1 species
UACGUAGGGUGCGAGCGUUAAUCGGAAUUACUGGGCGUAAAGCGUGCGCAGGCGGUUCGUCGUGUCCGAUGUGAAAGCCCCGGGCUCAACCUGGGAAUGGCAUUGGAAACUGGUGGACUCGAGUGUGGCAGAGGGGGGUGGAAUUCCGCGUGUAGCAGUGAAAUGCGUAGAGAUGCGGAGGAACACCGAUGGCGAAGGCAGCCCCCUGGGCUAACACUGACGCUCAGGCACGAAAGCGUGGGGAGCAAACAGG